rnacentral:rRNA from 1 species
CCAGGCCAGCAUCAGUUCGGGCGGUCGGAUAAAGGCCUCGGGAAUGUGGCUCCUCUCGGGGAGUGUUAUAGCCCGGGGCGGAAUGCGGCCAGCCUGGACUGAGGAUCUCGCUUCGGCAAGGAUGCUGGCGUAAUGGUUGUAAGCGGCCCGUCUUGAAACACGGACCAAGGAGUCUAACAUCUAUGCGAGUGUUUGGGUGUCAAACCCAUACGCGUAAUGAAAGUGAACGGAGGUGGGAACCCGCAAGGGCGCACCAUCGGCCGAUCCUGAUGUCUUCGGAUGGAUUUGAGCAAGAGCAUAGCUGUUGGGACCCGAAAGAUGGUGAACUAUGCCUGAAUAGGGUGAAGCCAGAGGAAACUCUGGUGGAGGCUCGCAGCGGUUCUGACGUGCAAAUCGAUCGUCAAAUUUGGGUAUAGGGGCGAAAGACUAAUCGAACCAUUAACAUUGGCGGCCCUUUGUUACGCGCUUAGGCUGCUAGGUGGUUAAGAGGUGGCUAAAAGUGCCUACCUAGUCCCUCUGUCGGGGCAACAUCGUCAAACUGUUCGGGGACGUCCUUAGAGCUUAGACUACCGCGGCCGGGCCGAAAGGCUCGGUGCAGCACCAGGGUAACGACCUCGGGGGUGGUAACAACGUCUAAGAUUGGGCUAUCCGCAGCCAAGCUCCUACGGCCCGGUCGAACGGGCACGGAGAAGGUUCACAGACUAGAUGGCGGUGGGUUCGGCUCGUUUGCGCGGGCCGGGCCUAAGAUAUAGUCGAUCCCCCGCGGAAACGCGGGCGGCGGGGCGAAGCCUGCUGGGCAGACGGGCGCGUCGAGAGGCGCGCGUCUGGCAGGCCCGAACCCCUCCGGGGAGCCGCAGCGCUCCUGGG